AGCGAACGCUGGCGGCAGGCCUAACACAUGCAAGUCGAACGAAGUCUUCGGACUUAGUGGCGGACGGGUGAGUAACACGUGGGAACGUGCCUUUAGGUUCGGAAUAACUCAGGGAAACUUGUGCUAAUACCGAAUGUGCCCUUCGGGGGAAAGAUUUAUCGCCUUUAGAGCGACCCGCGUCUGAUUAGCUAGUUGGUGAGGUAAAGGCUCACCAAGGCGACGAUCAGUAGCUGGUCUGAGGGGAUGAUCAGCCACAUUGGGACUGAGACACGGCCCAAACUCCUACGGGAGGCAGCAGUGGGGAAUCUUGCGCAAUGGGCGAAAGCCUGACGCAGCCAUGCCGCGUGAAUGAUGAAGGUCUUAGGAUUGUAAAAUUCUUUCACCGGGGACGAUAAUGACGGUACCCGGAGAAGAAGCCCCGGCUAACUUCGUGCCAGCCGCCGCCGUAAGAC
rnacentral:rRNA from 1 species